UACGGAGGGUGCAAGCGUUAUCCGGAUUCACUGGGUUUAAAGGGUGCGUAGGCGGGUUGGUAAGUCCGUGGUGAAAUCUCCGAGCUUAACUCGGAAACUGCCGUGGAUACUAUCAAUCUUGAAUAUCGUGGAGGUAAGCGGAAUAUGUGAUGUAGCGGUGAAAUGCUUAGAGAUGACAUAGAACACCAAUUGCGUAGGCAGCUUACUGGGCGAUCAUUGACGCUGAGGCACGAAAGCGUGGGGAGCAAACAGG
rnacentral:rRNA from 1 species